AUUGAACGCUGGCGGCAGGCCUAACACAUGCAAGUCGAGCGGAUGAAGGGAGCUUGCUCCUGGAUUCAGCGGCGGACGGGUGAGUAAUGCCUAGGAAUCUGCCUGGUAGUGGGGGAUAACGUCCGGAAACGGGCGCUAAUACCGCAUACGUCCUGAGGGAGAAAGUGGGGGAUCUUCGGACCUCACGCUAUCAGAUGAGCCUAGGUCGGAUUAGCUAGUUGGUGGGGUAAAGGCCUACCAAGGCGACGAUCCGUAACUGGUCUGAGAGGAUGAUCAGUCACACUGGAACUGAGACACGGUCCAAACUCCUACGGGAGGCAGCAGUGGGGAAUAUUGGACAAUGGGCGAAAGCCUGAUCCAGCCAUGCCGCGUGUGUGAAGAAGGUCUUCGAAUUGUAAAGCACUUUAAGUUGGGAGGAAGGGCAGUAAGUUAAUACCUUGCUGUUUUGACGUUACCAACAGAAUAAGCACCGGCUAACUUCGUG
rnacentral:rRNA from 1 species